GAUGAACGCUGGCGGCGUGCCUAAUACAUGCAAGUCGAGCGAACGGACGAGAAGCUUGCUUCUCUGAUGUUAGCGGCGGACGGGUGAGUAACACGUGGAUAACCUACCUAUAAGACUGGGAUAACUUCGGGAAACCGGAGCUAAUACCGGAUGAUAUUUUGAACCGCAUGGUUCAAAAGUGAAAGACGGUCUUGCUGUCACUUAUAGAUGGAUCCGCGCUGCAUUAGCUAGUUGGUAAGGUAACGGCUUACCAAGGCAACGAUGCAUAGCCGACCUGAGAGGGUGAUCGGCCACACUGGAACUGAGACACGGUCCAGACUCCUACGGGAGGCAGCAGUAGGGAAUCUUCCACAAUGGGCGAAAGCCUGACGGAGCAACGCCGCGUGAGUGAUGAAGGUCUUCGGAUCGUAAAACUCUGUUAUUAGGGAAGAACAUAUGUGUAAGUAACUGUGCACAUCUUGACGGUAACUAAUCAGAAAGCCACGGCUAACUACGUG
rnacentral:rRNA from 1 species